rnacentral:lncRNA from 10 species
AGAAUCCCCGCGCAGCUGUGCAGCUGUACAUUGCAUGCUGACACUGAAUGAGCAGUGACUGGACGCUGCCUUCCAUGUGGGACACGAGCCUUCAAUGCCUGAUAAAGCCUGAAAGCCACAAUCUGCCCUGGAAACCCAGCUCCACCCUGCUUCCACUACAUCAGGAGGUGAAGGAGGAAAUUGAAAGUGUGAAACACCAGUGGGAGGAAAAGGUUCCUGUAACAAAUGUGGUUAUCAAUGGGAAAGAAGCUUUCUAGAGCUUAUAUACGGGGCCGAGUCAUGCACACUUCAUCAUACUCACCAGCAUCUGCUACCCCUCACCACUUCCAACACUCCUUUUGCCCUGCUUGGAUCAGUCACCCCAACUGCCUCAGGGGACGACCCAGACCAUCAUUCUUCUCUGGUCUGCCACCUUCAUCCUCCACUUGCAGCCUCCUUUGCAGUGACCAUACAGGUGCAGAGCAUGAGCAGGAUGCACAGGGGUUUAUGUGGUCAGGCCUGCCUGGAGUUGGCACAUAGCAUUUCUGCUUCCAUUCUUAGGUCUGAAAUCCAGGUCACAGAGCCCUAACAUAACUACAAAGGAUCCUGAAAAGUGUUGUAUUCCAGUGUGCCUCGGAAAAGAAAAUAGGAUUAAUAAACUUUGAUUAGACUAAAUCAUUGA